rnacentral:lncRNA from 1 species
CAAUUAUUCACUAUGUAGUACCGCUUCCGGUGCUAGGUGGCGCCAAGUGUAAAAGUCAGAUAAAUUUAUCUGACAGGUCUCCUACUUACCGACACGGCUGUCAGCCAUCACCUUCGUUUUUGGCGCUUGGGUGGUAACAAGUGAAUUUUUCCACAAAUAAAUUUCAGCUCAAAUCCAAGGAGUAAGUUGUAAUUUUAAGUAAUAACGUUAUUAAUUUCUUUCAGCAUAAUGGGAAAGGGUUCAAGGAACCGAAAAAGGUCAGUUUCUGGCUCCGAUUCAAGGGAGUCAGCGCUGGAUUUCCAUGACCUCGACGCCCGUAUGAAGCGUAUAAAUUAGUAUAAGCGUAGCAAUUCAUACUUAAAACAACACGUGGAAAUACUAAAUCUAGAGGCAGGCCAAAAAGAAGCCGAUCUAGAUCAUCUGACUCGUGUUCAGAACAUUUAGCGCGUCCUCGAAGACGCGAUUGGAUUUCGCGGAGCCCUGACUCGAGUGAGCAGGUGCCCCGAACCCCUAUCCAUCCACGUAAGAAGUAUAGGCGUCUAGACUCGAGUGAGCUGGACCAACCUAAUCAUAGACCUUCCAAGAUUACCGAGCAGGUGCAAAUGCACAGCAGAACAAUAGACCCUGAGGUAGACAAUAGAGAGGAGAUCCUAGUCAUCCACCCAGACAAGGAUACAGAACAGUUUCGAACUCUGAAAGAUGACAUUCUUGAAUGCUUGGGCACAGACCCCAAUGACAUUAUAAGCGAGGGCAUUGAACUACACCCAGCCCUGGUAACUAGAUGGUCUAACAUAAUUAAAUGCGGCCUAGAUAAACAAGAAAGACUAGAUCUAACUAAAAAAGAUCUUGUACCCAAAAAUUUAAAAACCUUAGAAGCCCCAGAUCUAAAUGAGGAAAUUCUAAAAAUUCUACCACAAGACACAUUAAAAAAAGAUAAGUAUUUAGCUAUAAUUCAAUCUCAGUUAGGAGCUUCUUUAGCAGCCUUGGGUUCAUCAUUAAGUAAAAUCCUAGGUCAAGAAAGUAAUGAUCAUCUUAAGGCCAUUAUAACUGAACUCUCAGAUACUGGCAAAUUACUAAGUGAUUUACAUCAUUAUGUAUCAAUAUCUAGGAGGUAUGUUAUCAUACCAUCCCUAGAUGAUUCCCUUCAGCAAGUGGUGACUCUAAGUUAUUUGGUUCUGAUUUUGCAGAUAAAAUUAAAACUGCAAGAGAUUUAGAAAAAAACAGUAGAGAUUUAAAAGCCACAAAAUCUGGUUUAACAAGAAAUCCCAGAAGAGCUGUUCAAGAGGCAGACCAUUUAAACUGGAGAGGCCCGUCUCGUUCCUCGAGGAAGUUCAGACAUCAAGGGCAAAAAUCUCAGCAGAAUGUGACCUACAGGCACAGACCAACAAGACCAGCAAGACAGAAAUAUUAAAGGAAACCAUUCCCCAUAGCAAACCUUACCCUGGUUGCAGGGAAAUUAUCAGGGAGGCUUAUCGACUGAGGAACCAGAGGUACCAGAAGAAUGCAUGGAUGUCAUGGUGGAAUCCCUUUCUACCACAACACAAAAACAGUAUGACACAGCUUAUAGGUCCUGGUGGAAAUAUUCUGUAGAGAGGAAUAUUCCUGUAUUCAAGGCAGCACCCACUCAAGUGAUACAGUUUUUUCAAUUCCUUUUUAAACAAAGAGGUUUUAAAUAUGGGUCAUUUAACAAUUUCCGUUCGGCCUUGGCAUUAAUAAUGCCAGGCAGUUUAGGUAAACACCCCUUAAUAAAAAGGUACAUAAGAGGCAUUUCAAAACUACGUCCACAGACUCCUAGAUACAAUUUACCUUGGGAUCCCCAGGUAAUACUAAAUUACCUCAGAAAUCUUCACCCUAAUGAAAUUUUAUUUAAUUACGGCCCAACGUUUUCAAACAUUUGGCCUAAUUAAAGUAGAAAAUAUCUUUUUCACAAAUGAAGCUGAGGUUCUUAUUUUUAUCUCUGAUGCUAUAAAGAUCUCUGGCCUAAAUAAGAGUCAACCUUGUCUUCAAUUUAAAACAUUCACUGAACAACCUGAGCUCUGUUUAGUUUCAGCAUUAAUGCAGUAUAUCGACAAGACAGCCACCUUACGGAAGAUAAACAAUGAAUACCUUUUUAUUUCAUAUUCUGCUCCUUUUAAUAGAGUUUCUAGUCAGACAUUAAGCAGAUGGGUGAAGGACUCCUUAACAAAAGCUGGAAUCAACACAAAUAUUUUCUCAGCUUACUCUAUUAAACAUGCCUCAACAUCCUCAGCAUUCAAGAGAGGUGUACCUAUAAAUUUCAUCCGUAAAACUGCAAGCUGGAUAGAAACUUCAAUUACUUUUGCUAAGUUCUACAACAGGCCUAUAGUUAAGACAACGGACAACAUUGCAGAGGUACUAAUCAAUAGCAGAAGUAAAGUUACCCUAUAGGUGUGUUAUUGUGAUUUGUGCACCUUUCUAUUAUACUAUUUUUGUUUGAAU